rnacentral:rRNA from 1 species
UAAGACAGAGGGCGCGAGCGUUGUUCGGAAUCACUGGGCGUAAAGCGCGCGCAGGCGGACCAGGCAAGUCUGGAGUGAAAUCUCGCCGCUCAACGGCGAGGCUGCUUUGGAAACUGCGGGUCUGGAGACCGGUAGAGGCUGGUAGAAUUGCAGGUGUAGCGGUGGAAUGCGUAGAGAUCUGCAAGAAUACCCGUGGCGAAGGCGGCCAGCUGGGCCGGUUCUGACGCUGAGGCGCGAAAGCGUGGGGAGCAAACAGGAUUAGAUACCCUGGUAGUCCACGCCGUAAACGAUGGGCACUAGGUGCCGGGGGGAGCGACCCCUUCGGUGCCGCAGCUAACGCGAUAAGUGCCCCGCCUGGGGAGUACGGCCGCAAGGCUG